rnacentral:rRNA from 1 species
GUGUCAGCAGCCGCGGUAAUACAGAGGGUGCAAACGUUGCUCGGAAUUAUUGGGCGUAAAGCGCGUGUAGGCGGUUUGUUAAGUCGGUUGUGAAAGCCCAGGGCUCAACCCUGGAAGUGCGUCCGAUACUGGCAGACUAGAGUUCCGAAGAGGAUGGCGGAAUUCCCAGUGUAGAGGUGAAAUUCGUAGAUAUUGGGAGGAACACCGGUGGCGAAGGCGGCCAUCUGGGAGGAUACUGACGCUGAGACGCGAAAGCGUGGGGAUCAAACAGGAUUAGAUACCCUGGUAGUCC